CUCUUUACUUUGAGGGUGGUGACACACUGGAACAGGUUGCCAAAAGAAGCUGUGGAUGCCUCAUCCCUGGAGGUGUUCAAGGCCAGAUUGAAUGGAGCGCUGAAUAAUCUGAUCUAGUGAAGGUCAUCACUGUCCAUGGCA